AGACACUUCUGUAUCCUUCCAGGGUGAAGCGUGGAGCACAGUGAAGAAAUACAUGAAGGAAUGUGAUACAAAUACAAAUGAGCUCCCUGUUGUCCUGAAGAUCAACCCCACACUUCCUGACUAAAUCGACAGGCCCUGCACCAGUGGAUUCAGCUGGCCCUUCCAGCCUCAUUGCUUGGAAAUCAUGGCAGAAAUGACAGACAGCAAUUCUAGUGCCCAACACCAUUCUCUUCUCCAAGAUACCCAGCCCUGUGUCUUUUAUGGAAGCUGGGCAGAUGACUGCUUCUCAUCCUCAUCCUAGUACCUGGAGGAAUUGAAAGGCAAGUGACCCCUUUUCCACUCGGCCUUGGGGGCGGGGGGCGCUCAUUUUAGCAGAAUCCCUUAGACUAUCCAUUAUCUGCAGAGAUAUUCUGUGUUUCCUUCAAAUACCGUCCAUGGACAGUAGAAGACCUGGCUUAAUUCCAGCUCUGUCACCAAUUAACUGGACAUUUCUCUGACUCUCCGAUUCCCCCUCUGCAGUUGUACUGAAUGGUUGCACGGAAUGAUCUUUAAGGGCCCCAGGAGCUUAAGGACACCCACAGUCAUAAUAUCGACCAAGGGUUUCAUAGUCACAAUAUCACUUAACCCUGAUAGUCUGGGAGAUUAGAGCCACU
rnacentral:lncRNA from 1 species